rnacentral:snRNA from 1 species
UAGUACUACAGCUCUUUUAGAAUUUGUCUAGCAGGCUUU